rnacentral:rRNA from 1 species
GUGGGGAAUUUUGGACAAUGGGGGAAACCCUGAUCCAGCCAUGCCGCGUGCGGGAUGAAGGCCUUCGGGUUGUAAACCGCUUUUGUCAGAGACGAAAAGGGACGCACGAAUAAUACGUUCCCCUGACGGUAUCUGAAGAAUAAGCACCGGCUAACUACGUGCCAGCAGCCGCGGUAAUACGUAGGGUGCAAGCGUUAAUCGGAAUUACUGGGCGUAAAGGGUGCGCAGGCGGCGGUGCAAGACAGAUGUGAAAUCCCCGGGCUUAACCUGGGAACUGCAGUUGUGACUGCACGGCUAGAGUUUGUCAGAGGAGGGUGGAAUUCCGCGUGUAGCAGUGAAAUGCGUAGAUAUGCGGAAGAACACCAAUGGCGAAGGCAGCCCUCUGGGACAUGACUGACGCUCAUGCACGAAAGCGUGGGGAGCAAACAGGAUUAGAUACCCCAGUAGUCC